rnacentral:lncRNA from 1 species
AGCCGAAGAACCUCCGAUGCCAAAGUUAGAAUUUUGAGAGAAAAGGGUUUGGGGAGUUUUUGAGUGUUUAGCAAGUGUCAAGACCUAGGUUUUUAGAGGAAAUGAGGUUGAAUAUAUAGUUGUUUGGACCCAAAUUUACACCAUCGGCCCGUGCAAUCAAGGCCGUUGAGUAAGCAUAGCUCUCAAUCGUUGGAUGGAAAAGUGGAGAUAAUUUUUGUCAUUAUUAAAGGAUAAUAUAAUGAUUUUUAUCAUAAUAAUUAUCUUUUAAUAUGCAUUAUCCUAGCAUCCUAGCUUUCAUCAACCAGAUAAAUAUGAUGUGAAUUAUAUCCCAAGCGAGCAGUACAGUUCGAGUUGAUUUGGGAUAUCUGACGGUACAUGGAAGCUAAAAAUGAAUUUGAAAUGCAUUCAGAUAAGGUCAGGAUGCAUGCCACAAUAAAGGUGAUGGCUUUGGGUGAUGAUGAGACAAGCCUAUAAAAGCUAGGUUUGUAAUGAUGACAUAGGAAACCUAGGUGGGCUAUGGUGAUGGAAGUGAUCAAAUGGUUUUAAAAGGCUUCUGAUGAAGGUUUUUUCUUAUGAGAUCAGAAGCCUAGGUGGCCUAGGGGGAAUUUGAGUUGUAAUUAAACUCUGCAACGUUAUCUGACCGUGCAAAACAAGUACGUCAGUCCUAUAAAUACAGAUGCAAUGGCAACGGAAAGAGCCCCUCCAAUUCAACACAUAAAUUGCCCUGCGCAAACUCUCUCAACAACCUUUGAGAUUUUUAUUUUCUUUUUCCACCAACACAUCUUCAGUUUGGAUAAAUAGCACUGUGAAGGCAACCGAUGAUAUCUUUAGUUUGGAUAAACAACAUUAUUGCCAUAGAACCAGCCGACCGCGGAACACUUUCAAUUUGGAUAAACAACACUAUCGCCGUAGAACCAGCCGACCGCGGAACACUUUCAGUUUAGAUAUAUAGCACCGUGACGAGACCGACUGGUUAUCUAUCCAAGUCUCGGUUAAGAAAGACUUUCGGGUCUUUAUUGGCAGAGGUUAUCUCAAUAGCCUUUUUGGCAAGGUGAUGUGUUACAGUCUACUAGGGCUCGGCACAUUGAAUGCCGAGUUGUUUUAUGAUUGGAUACUCACAAGUAAGCUUCAGGGUUCAACAUUAUGACGGCUGAACCACAUUUACCAUCAAGACAUAUAUUUGUUUUGAGUAUCUGUGCCCCUAUACUUUGGUGUCAAUUCGGCGUGCUUAUACCAUUACAAAUAUAAUCACUUUGAUAAAAUCCGGCGCUGACGAUUUAUGAACUUCGUAGAACUAGUAGCCUUGUCUUCAGGCUCUAG